CUGUGUCAGACAUUUCUCUCCAGAUGGAGAGUGACCCUCUUCUUCAUCAACUCUUCUUCAUCAACUCUUUGGACUGUGUGAAGAAACUGUGUUCAGUGUCAAUGAGAUCGAGGACUUCAAGACUUCCUUCUGCUUUACUACUGGAAAGUACAUUUUUCUUUAACUUAUGUGAAUUAUUUUUCUCUGUAAACUGAGCGUCUGGGAAUUUACUGGAAAAUUUCCUCUCCUUUGCAGCCCUAGUCUUACCCAUAACAGUCUAAUGGUGCGUUCUGUUAUUCUCAACAAACCGACUCGGACCUCGGAUAUGACGUCACUUCCACACUUCAAGCCUUCUGGUGGAGCUGGGACUCAUUCCAGGGAACAGCUCACCUGUGUCUACCUCUCUGGGCGUUUCCUCUUGUUUUCUGUUUAAAGUUUCCAGAGUUUGUGACGCAGUUUUUUCUCUCCGUGUGAAGCUCCAGCUGAAGGACCCAUCAGAGACCAGACCCUGCUGAACCUGAACCUGGACCUGAACCCAGUCACCGGACCCAUCAGAGACCAGACCCUGCUGAACCUGAACCUGGAUUCCCUUUUCAAUUUGAAGCUGGAUCCAUAUCCAGCUUCAGCAGCCUCUGGUCUGCUGAAUCUGGAUAUGGAUCCAGCUGUUUGUCCUUCAAGAGCGACUGGUCAAUGGAUGAUGGGAUUGAUUUUAAACAAAGACAUCGAUCUGACAGGAAAGUGGACAAGGAGAGCUCAGAGGUUCCCA